rnacentral:rRNA from 1 species
CAGUCGCCACGGUAAUGCAGAGGGUGCGAGCGUUAAUCGGAUUUACUGGGCGUAAAGCGUGCGUAGGCGGCUUUUUAAGUCGGAUAUGAAAUCCCCGAGCUUAACUGGGGAAUUGCAUUCGAUACUGGGAAGCUAGAGUAUGGGAGAGGAUGGUAGAGUUCCAGGUGUAGCGGUGAAAUGCGUAGAGAUCUGGAGGAAUACCGAUGGCGAAGGCAGCCAUCUGACCUAAUACUGACGCUGAGGUACGAAAGCAUGGGGAGCAAACAGGAUUAGAUACCCGCGUAGUCCCUGUCUCUUAUAC